GGCGCGGUUCAGGUGCAGUGUACAUUAUAAAGUAAUUAAAAAAUAAGCUUAAUGAGCCCAAGACAAAUAACCGAGGGUCGGAACAUGCAUGAGUCAGCAGGAACAAGGACUUUAAUGUGUGAAAUUAUUGGAGAAAUUCCAUUACCUCACACAGCUGGGGGAAAAAAAUGGAAGGAAAUGGGGAUGAGUGUGCAAACUUUGAGCUGCAAAGACCAGGUCUUCUGAGUCUUAACCAGCAUCAACAGGCGUCAACGUGAAUGCACCCAUCUGUCAGGGGACUUGCAAAAGAAAAAAGAAAAAAAAAAAGAUAAGAAUUGUGCCCAUGUAUGAAACGUGGAGGUAUCAGUCCUGACCAUUUGGAAGCGAGUCAGCCAUCCAGAAUGAUGAGAUUGAUUUUAAAAUAGUGAUACUGAAAACUGUCGUCUCUUGAAAAAAGGCUUGUGCUGCGUGUGAAUGUUUUUCCAGCAGUAACUGGACGUCUUCAUUAGCUGCUGCCAGGCUACAGCCAGACAAGCCAUCUGCUGCCCAGGAAACUACAUACUGCUCGUUCUUGCUGAGACCCCAAGAGGUUCAAAACACUAACGCUCCUCAGAGAUUUUCAUCAAGUUCAUCUACGGAUUUCAACUACUAUUUAAAGGUUCAUGCCAAGCAUUUUGCUUUCUGGGAUGUUCACAGCAAGAUGUGUUAACAAAGUCCUUCAGUAACGUCCCCGUCAUGGACAGGAGGAAGAGCUGUCACCUGGUCAGAUCUCACUCGGGGCAGGUGCUGAAGUGGAUAAAGAAGGGUCUGUCUCUGUUUAUGGACCACUUCUCCAAGACCUGGAGCUCUGGCAUAAGGGCUCAGCUGUGCAGUGUGCAAAGGUGUCUCUGUCAUUCUAAGCCUUUCUUACUCAUCCUGUUUCUACAUCUUACAACAUCUGGAUCUGAAAGGCCAGCAGCAACAGAGAUGCAAACUAUUUUCCAGCUGUUAUCAAGCAGAUGGUGAUUAAAACUGGUGACUGUCGACAUAUGCCUUUAAAAACAAAACAAG
rnacentral:lncRNA from 1 species